rnacentral:rRNA from 1 species
CCUACGGGGUGCAGCAGUGAGGAAUAUUGGUCAAUGGACGAGAGUCUGAACCAGCCAAGUAGCGUGAAGGAUGACUGCCCUAUGGGUUGUAAACUUCUUUUAUAAAGGAAUAAAACGAGGCACGUGUGCCUUUUUGCAUGUACUUUAUGAAUAAGGAUCGGCUAACUCCGUGCCAGCAGCCGCGGUAAUACGGAGGAUCCGAGCGUUAUCCGGAUUUAUUGGGGUUAAAGGGUGCGUAGGUGGGUUGUUAAGUCAGUUGUGAAAGUUUGCGGCUCAACCGUAAAAGUGCAAUUGAUACUGGUAUUCUUGAGUACAGUUGAAGUAUGCGGAAUGCGUGGUGUAGCGGUGAAAUGCUUAGAUAUCACGAAGAACCCCGAUUGCGAAGGCAGCUUACUAAACUUCGACUGACACUGAUGCUCGAAAGUGUGGGUAUCAAACAGGAUUAGAUACCCCGGUAGUC